rnacentral:misc_RNA from 1 species
CGUGCACUUGCACCGAACGGUCGGCAGCCGAUCCGCGUCGGACGCUUGGGUGGUAUGGUUCCCCAGAGGCCGGUUCUUGUGCUGCGUACCCCCUCAAGGGAAGCAGGCCACUUGAUGUAAGCCCUCCAUCCGGCGCCUUCCAAUGGGCGCAGGAGGACAACGGAGCACCCCCCGCGUUCCAUCGAGCCUUUGCUGGUCGCGUGGCCCGCGGGGACGUGCGAUGCUCUCGGACCCAGCGCACGCCUGGGCGAGGACUCACGUCCCAGUCCCAAGAGAAGCUUCGGUACAACGCUGACGGCCGCUCCCGCACCCCGACCGCCCCGGCGGCGCGGGCGCGAGGCGCGGCGUCGCGGAGGAAUGCUACCU